UACGUAGGGUCCAAGCGUUAUCCGGAAUCACUGGGCGUAAAGCGUGCGUAGGUGGCGUGUUAAGUGUGAUGUUAAAUCGUGGGGCUCAACCCCGUCGAUGCAUCACAUACUGGCACACUAGAGGACGGUAGAGGCAAGUGGAAUUUGUAGUGUAGCAGUGAAAUGCGUAGAUAUUACAAGGAACACCAAUGGCGAAGGCAGCUUGCUGGGCCAAUCCUGACACUGAGGUACGAAAGCGUGGGGAGCGAACAGG
rnacentral:rRNA from 1 species